CGGGUUGCUGUUGUUCGUGGUCCGUGGUGCCGCUGACGGUCUUUUUUUUUCCUUUCCCCUGCUUGCGCCCAUCUCUGUCUCCUCUCGCUGGUUGUUGUUGCUGCUCAUCUGCGACGCGGUGUCGCUACUGGUGGUAGCCGCCACCUCUUGGAGUUGCUGCAGUGGUGUGUUACCUCUUGUAAAGUAUCUUAUAUGUUUCAGGUUGAAGCCGUGAGUUAUUCUUUUGCAAGCUGAAGCGGAUACGAGAUGGUGCAGUAUUAUAUUUGUUAUUGAAGUGAGGACGCUCCACUUGUAAUAGUUAAAUCGUUUAUUUUCUAUAAUGUAUUUUCUUCAUUUAAGAACCGAUAGCUAGUGCUCCUGAUUCUCUGUUGGUUGUUGCUCCGCGAAAGCGUUGAGGUUGUUUA